UGGUGGAGUGAUUUGUCUGCUUAAUUGCGAUAACGAACGAGACCUUAACCUGCUAAAUAGACCGGUCGGCUUUUGCUGGCCGCUGUCUUCUUAGAGGGACUAACAGCGUUUAGCUGUUGGAAGUUUGAGGCAAUAACA
rnacentral:rRNA from 1 species